UGGGGGCGCAUCGGACGUUUCAACCCGACCGAUGCACACAUCCUUGAGUGCCUACUAGGUACUGAGAGAUUCCUAUAACUUGACUACAGACGGCGCCACAAACGGGCUGACGGGCCAUCCGUCGUCCGGCGUGCGACUGUGCAGCAUGGCGUGCUCGGGUCUCGGCGUGGACCCUUGGGCGCUGAAAGUGGACACUGUUUGGCGGCACCUGCGCGUGUGCUCUCAGUGUUGACGUAUGGUGAGGGUAGUGUCAAAUCGCACGGUUCGACAACAAGCGUACCGUCGAGUUUGGUGCAAUCGGAUGCCUACUACCAUGGGCGGAGCCGGCGUGCAUUCAACACUCGACGUCCUGUAUCAACCGGAUGCCAACUUGGUUGGUGGUGCCGGCGCAGACAGGACACUGAAUCGAUCUUGGUGGUACAACCCACAUGUGGGUGGUCAAGGUGUGCAUGUGACAACCGGAUGCCAACGAUGGCGGUGCCGGCGCACACCACCACACUCGCCCCUAGGUCGCUUGUUGCGUGUAACGCGUGUGAUCCAUACACAUACCUGUUUGAGCUGUGCGUUGAACACAAGAUGAUGAGAGUUGCGAAACACACAGACCACACUCCAGUACGCCUCCCAUGAUGUGUGACUACCCCCUGAAUUACAACCCAAAAUUAAGCAAA
rnacentral:rRNA from 1 species